AAUAUGCUGCUUUGUUACAUGGAAGAAAAUCCCAUUUUUUUUAGAGGAAAGUUGACUCAGGACUUCACAGCUAAGAAUAAAAGAGAGAUGAGGGACGUGAUUGCGUACAAUCUAAACGCACAAGGAGGAUGUACCAAAACAACAGAAAAAUGCAUAAGAACAUGGAUUGAUUGGAAAUGUUCCGUGAAAAAGAAGGCAGCCGAAAUAACAGUUUCACAAAAAAAAAAAAAAAAAAAAAAAAAA